GGCGCUAUGGUAUAGUGGCAAUACUUGGGAUUUUGAUUGGCUAUGAAGGAUAUUAUCUUCCCACAACCCAGGUUCGAAACCUGGUAGCGCCU